AACUAGCUGAUAAUUUUUUCUCCCAGUUUGGAAAACUCACAACUGUGCUCUGAAAGCACAGCCCUGCCACAGAUAAAUAAGCUAUGUAAUGUUGUCAACAUGACUCCCCAAAGCCACACUAACAAACUGCUUGAUUCUCCUCAGCGGCAGUACAGGUCUGUAUGUUAAGUUUACAAACACAGCAUCUGAAAAGCACUUUGUUUUUAUGUCAGAAUCAAAUACCCUGCAAGUCUUACUUAUUAAUAUACAUACACUUUCAAACUGUGCUGAGCAACACAUAAAGACCGCCAGUGAUUUUGCAUGGAUCCUCAAGUCAAAAGCAGGAAAAAACAGGGCUUCACUUAAAUUCUCUGGAGAACAGUAUCACUGGAAAACUGAGGCAUUCACCUUCUGAGGGCA